GGAGAGAUGGCUCAGUGGUUAGAGCACUUGAUGCCCCUCCAGGGGACCUGGGUUCAAUUCCCAGCCA
rnacentral:tRNA from 1 species